UAUUCUGCCCCACGGGGAAGGAUGAGAAGCUUCGACUAAGGUUCGACUCGAGCGAAGCGAGAGAACGUUGCCGCAGGCAAUGGCCCGAAGGGCGAGGCGCUUUAGCGCCGAGUAAUCCUUCCCCCACCACCA
rnacentral:sRNA from 1 species